rnacentral:rRNA from 1 species
CCAGAGUCCUACGGGAGGCAGCAGUAGGGAAUCUUCGGCAAUGGACGAAAGUCUGACCGAGCAACGCCGCGUGAGUGAAGAAGGUUUUCGGAUCGUAAAACUCUGUUGGUAGAGAAGAACGUUGGUGAGAGUGGAAAGCUCAUCAAGUGACGGUAACUACCCAGAAAGGGACGGCUAACUACGUGCCAGCAGCCGCGGUAAUACGUAGGUCCCGAGCGUUGUCCGGAUUUAUUGGGCGUAAAGCGAGCGCAGGUGGUUUAUUAAGUCUGGUGUAAAAGGCAGUGGCUCAACCAUUGUAUGCAUUGGAAACUGGUAGACUUGAGUGCAGGAGAGGAGAGUGGAAUUCCAUGUGUAGCGGUGAAAUGCGUAGAUAUAUGGAGGAACACCGGUGGCGAAAGCGGCUCUCUGGCCUGUAACUGACACUGAGGCUCGAAAGCGUGGGGAGCAAACAGGAUUAGAUACCCUGGUAGUCCACGCCGUAAACGAUGAGUGCUAGAUGUAGGGAGCUAUAAGUUCUCUGUAUCGCAGCUAACGCAAUAAGCACUCCGCCUGGGGAGUACGACCGCAAGGUUGAAACUCAAAGGAAUUGACGGGGGCCCGCACAAG